AAGGUUACGGGACCAUAAACAUGUUAAAAGAUAACCUGAACUACACAGCAUAGGGUCAAGGGAUUUCUGUGUUUAAUGACCUCGUACUUUGUUACAUAUACUAUGAUAUAAAAGGCAUAACAUAAUACAUUUGGCUCCUCAAUAUAAAGACAUAGUAAAAUGUCAGUGCAGUGUAACUCUGUAAUAGCUGUAAAUAACAAAAGGCUUUGGAAUAUUUCUGUAAGUGAAUCUUAAAGCCACAAAUGUUAAUAUGGCCAGCUGCUCCUCCAUAUCCGUGUUUUGAAUGACCCUCCCAUAGUAUGCGGCAGACAGAUCAGGAAGCAGAGCAGCAGUGACUUGAGCAGAGAUGAAAGGGGGACGGUCUUUUGAAUAGCAGGUUUCAUUUUAAAGUCAUGGUGAUGGCUCUUUCCACAAGGCUCAAGUUAUUCACAGUUACUGUUGAUGUGAACUCUGUUACGACCGUAGUACAGUGAGUCUCUUGGAGCGUUUAUAUGGUGACAAAGGCCGGCUCCGUUGCUUGGGGGUCCUACUUUGGAACCCUGUCUGCAAAAGUUGUUGGAUUCUAGCAGCGCUGACGCUGUAAGAACGGACACUGCAUUUGACACUGAACUGAGGCGGAUUGUAUCUUUGUGAAACGGCAGCUGCUCAAACGAUGAACAGUAAAACUGUGAAAUGCUGUAUGUCCUUUCCAACUCCUCCAUUGUCAUGUUGUAUUUUAAUUCAUGCCUAAUAGUUCCAGAAUCUUUUUGAGAAUUCAGUGGCUGUGAGGUUCUUCUGAUGAAUACUACUGACAGUAUCUACUGUGUUACAUGAAGCACAGAUACAUCAAGUGUGAUAAAUCGUGAGUUAACUGCGGCUGUUGUGCAAUUAAUCCCGGUCAAAAACGUUAUUCUAUUGACAGAAUUUAGCAUUUUCUCAAUAAGAAAUUCUGUCAAGUGAUGAACGAACAAAAUCUUUCAGAAGCAGACUGUUGUGAAAUCUGGUUGAGUCUCCCUGCGCUCCAUUGUUGUCAGACACAGGCUGAUAUGGGCCAGUACCAGCCCGUCUUACAGAGCUCUCUGUGUCUUGUGCAGCCGUAUGGAUGCUGCCAGAACAAUGAGGGUUGUUUGUGUCUAAAACAGCUCUUUAGUAUCGGCCCUCAGUUCACUUUUUCCCCCCUCUCUUUAUCAAUGUGGGCUAAUAGUACAAGGUAUGUGAAGAGUUUACCGUGUGGAUGAAGUCUUGGCGAGCCACCAUGAAGCUCGGUGGAGAUGAGAGACGAGUCGACAACAGGACCAUCUAUGUUGGCCAUCGGCAGUCCUCUGCCGCCGAAGCUUUCAUCCCACCCAAAUUUUGUGACAACAGGAUUGUGUCCUCGAAGUACACGGUGUGGAACUUUCUGCCAAAGAACUUGUUUGAACAGUUCAGACGAAUUGCAAAUUUCUACUUCCUCAUCAUCUUCCUAGUGCAGGUGAUUGUAGACACUCCCACCAGCCCUGUCACUAGUGGCCUGCCUUUAUUUUUUGUCAUCACAGUUACAGCUAUCAAGCAGGGCUAUGAGGACUGGCUUCGGCACAAGGCUGACAAUGAGGUCAAUAAGUAUCCAGUAACGGUACUCGAAGACGGUCGAAGGAUACGGAAAGAGAGUGAGAAAAUUAAGGUGGGAGAUGUUGUGGAAGUGGAAGAAGAUGAGACCUUUCCCUGUGAUUUAAUACUCCUCAAGUCCAGCCGAGAUGACGAGACGUGUUUUGUUACGACUGCAAGUCUGGAUGGAGAGUCCAACCAUAAGACACAUUACACUGUACCAGACACAGAGAAGGAUCUGGAUUCUCUCAACGCCACUAUCGAGUGCGAACAGCCACAGCCUGACCUUUACAAGUUUGUCGGUCGCAUGCACAUCUACAGAAACAAUCAGGAGCCUACUGUAAGGUCUUUGGGCCCGGAGAAUCUGCUGCUGAAAGGAGCCACUUUGAAGAACACUCUGAAGAUAUCUGGUGUCGCAGUUUACACUGGCAUGGAGACGAAAAUGGCUCUCAACUAUCAGGGCAAGUCGCAGAAACGCUCUGCUGUGGAAAAGUCCAUCAAUGCCUUCCUUUUGGUUUACCUUUGUAUACUGGUGAGCAAGGCCCUUGUCUGCACGACCCUCAAAUAUGUGUGGCAAAGCAAGCCUGGACAAGACGAGCCGUGGUACAAUGAGAAAACACAGCGGGAGAGAGACACCAAUCUGUACCUUAAGAUGUUCACCGACUUCUUGUCCUUCAUGGUGCUCUUCAACUUCAUCAUCCCGGUGUCCAUGUACGUGACGGUUGAGAUGCAGAAGUUUUUGGGAUCGUUUUUCAUCACCUGGGACAAGGAUUUCUUUGACCCGGAGAUCCAGGAGGGAGCACUGGUCAACACCUCAGAUCUAAAUGAGGAACUGGGGCAGGUGGAAUACGUGUUCACAGAUAAAACAGGUACCCUCACUCAGAAUAACAUGGAGUUCAUCGAGUGCUGCAUCGAUGGGUUCCAGUACAAGCACAAGGACUCCAGCACUGAGAUGGAUGGCUUUUGUGUCACGGACGGACCCAUGAGCAAGCAGCAGAAGGCUGGCAGGGAGCGGGAGGAGCUGUUUCUGCGCGCGCUCUGUCUGUGUCACACGGUCCAGGUGAAGGAGCCGACGGAGCAGGACCAAAACGAUGGGUUCUCGGACCAGAUCGACGGUUUGGGGGUGGACGGGGAGACGCUGCAUCCGAGCCGAGAGGACAGAGGCUUUAUCGCCUCGUCGCCUGAUGAGGUUGCUUUAGUGAAGGGUGCCAUGAGGUAUGGCUUCACAUUUCUGGGUCUUGAAAGCAAAACCAUGAAAGUGAUGAACCGGAACAAGGACAUUGAAAUGUAUGACCUGCUUCACGUUUUAAACUUCGACCCCGUCAGAAGAAGAAUGAGUGUGAUUGUACGAUCAAAAUCAGGUGAUACAAUCCUUUUCUGUAAAGGAGCAGACUCGUCCAUCUUUCCUCGAGUUAAACAAGAAGAAGUGGAAAGAAUACGUUUGCAUGUGGAGCGGAAUGCUACAGAGGGCUACAGAACCCUGUGUGUGGCGUUCAAGCUGCUGAACAAAGAGGAGUAUCUCCAAGUAGAUGCUGGAUUGAGGGAAGCAAGGCUGGCUCUGCACGAGAGAGAGGAGAAGCUCAUGGCGGUGUACAACCAGGUGGAGACGGGAAUGAGUCUCAUCGGAGCUACUGCUGUGGAAGAUCGACUUCAAGAGGAGGCGGCUGAGACCAUGGAGGCUCUUCAGGGGGCUGGCAUUAAGGUCUGGGUCCUGACAGGGGACAAGAUGGAGACAGCAAAGUCAACGUGUUACGCGUGUAGGCUGUUUCAGAGGAGCACAGAGUUGUUAGAGUUGACUGUAAGAACUCUUGAAGAUGGAGGGAAGAGGCGUGAAGAGCGACUGCACGAGCUUUUGCUCGAGUACCACAAGAAAGCAGUGCAGGAUGCCCCGCCCUAUAAGGCUGCAGUCACCAGGAGCUGGUCUUCUGCCAGUCAGGACUACGGUUUUAUAAUCGACGGUGCCACUCUGUCAAUGGUGCUCAAUGCCUCCGAGUCCAGCUCCAGUCUCUACAAGACACUCUUCCUGCAGAUCUGUCAGAACUGCACCGCGGUCCUCUGCUGUCGGAUGGCUCCUCUUCAGAAGGCUCAGAUUGUAAAAAUGGUGAAGAACUCCAAAGGAAACCCGAUCACUCUCUCCAUUGGUGAUGGGGCAAAUGACGUGAGCAUGAUUCUGGAAGCUCAUGUUGGAAUUGGGAUCAAGGGCAAAGAGGGGCGGCAGGCAGUCCGCAACAGUGAUUACGCCAUCCCCAAAUUAAAGCACCUUAAAAAGCUUUUGCUGGCUCAUGGGCACCUCUACUACGUCCGCAUCGCUCACCUGGUGCAAUAUUUCUUUUACAAGAACCUCUGCUUCAUCUUACCUCAGUUUUUGUACCAGUUCUUUUGUGGCUACUCCCAGCAGCCCCUGUAUGACGCCGCCUAUCUGACGAUGUACAACAUCUGCUUCACCUCUAUGCCCAUCCUGGCUUAUAGCCUCUUUGAACAGCACAUCUGCAUCGAGGCUUUGUUGGACAAUGCUGCCUUCUACAGAAACAUUGCCAAAAAUAACAUGUUGCGAUGGCGACCGUUCCUCUAUUGGACCCUGCUGGGAAUCUUCCACGGCUUGCUGUUCUUCUUCGGUGUGCGAUUACUGUUCAGUAACCCGGCACUGCAGGAUAAUGGCCAGGUGUUUGGGAAUUGGUCGUACGGAACAAUUGUCUUCACCGUGCUUGUCAUCACAGUCACACUGAAGCUUGCUUUGGACACUCGACACUGGACGUGGAUCAACCACUUUGUCAUCUGGGGCUCGCUUGCCUUCUAUGUGUUCUUCAGCUUCUUCUGGGGUGGAAUUAUUUGGCCGUUCCUGGAACAGCAGCGUCUGUACUUUGUGUUUGCCAACAUGUUGAGUUCAGUGUCAGCCUGGCUGGUCAUCGUCCUGCUCGUCCUGCUCAGCCUACUGCCAGAGAUUCUGCUCGUGGUGUUCCGCAAGCCCAGUGGCCCACGCACUCGACAGAAGAAGCUGGUUCACAGUGCUGGGGGCCAGCAGUCACCCAGAUCUUCAGCCAGGCCCCUGCUCACAAGAACCUUUUCAGAUGCGUCCAAUACUGUCAUUUAAACAGGUACUAGCCCCCCCCUCUGGGCCAACUAAGCCAAUCAAAGCCUGGUUCCCUAAACAACCCCCGCAGAUCUGAGCCUAACACCCGGGAGUAUGAAGGCUUCCAGACCGUUUCCCAGAAGUCCCUCUGUGUGUGUGUGUUUCUGUGUCAUGCUGGCGGAGCUUGGCUGGCUGAAGGGAUGCUCAUUGAUCAGUGAGACUAUCAAGAGGCAGUCACAAACCCCACACGUGCUCCUCUCAGCCUCCCAUCGACGCCUGUGCCAUCGCCCUCUGCAUGAGCUUCCACAUCUGUGCCAGAGUGUCACGCUGGACGUUUGACUCGUCCAACUUUCAGAAACCAUAGUGAUGAUCUGUGAUUGUUAUUUCUGCAGCAUCUGUGGACUCAUUUGCUGUUUGCAGUCGUUCUGUUUGUGGUUUUGUUUAUUUCAUAUGGGUGGAAUGAUGAACUAACUACAGUCAGUAUGUGACAGGUUAAGCACUACAACAUAAAGAAGAGGGAACCAUUUCUGUCUGUUUGUGCUGAUGAUAAGUAAACUAGUACUAGUAAUGGUAAAUACUGUGCAUCAGCCAUAAUAUUCCCUCAAAUCUGACCAUAUUUCUAUGCAUAAUAAAGGCCAUCUAAUCUAAAUUUAAACUAAACUACUCUUAAAUUAUGAAUAUUUUUUAUUUCUAGUGUUAUAUAAACUGUAUAAAUAUGGUAAAAGAAUAUAUUCAUGUCCAAUCUUGUCUAAAUAUAUAUUAAUUCUAGAUUCAAAACACAAAUAAAAAUGCUUUGAAGUUGUAAAAAAGUCAUUUUUUUAAACAAAUACAAUUGCAUUACAAAUAGCUAAAAUUGAAAACUGGACUAUUUUUGCUAAAUCAGUGGGGUUUUUUUUAUACGUAUUUUUAAAUGUAAUUUUUUCACAACUGAGGUCUCCGUGUGGGCGGGCCCUGUGCUGCUUGAGCACUGGGGAGAACCCAGAGAAGUUUCUCUCAUGUUCAGUUUACUUGGUGCUGAUUCACUCGUCAGUUUCCUGUGGCGUGUGACUCGAUAAUGUCCCAGCUACUUAGGGCAACAGGCACGGUAAGUGGCCUGUCGCUCUCGUCAGUGUUAUAAAUACAGUUAAACAUCAAAGUUUUCACUAUUGUGUGCAAAUCUGCGGUUCAUCUUUUGUUUGAUGGGCUCAUCCUUCUCUGCAAACUACUGGUUUAUGCACUAGCAUUUUUGUUUUUGCUCUAACGCUCCUUGUUGAAGUGUUACUAAUUUUGGUUCAGGGUUUAUCAGGUUUUGUCACCAAGGGGAACCUUCAUGAUUAUAUCUGCACUGUUGUGUUGGCAGCUCAUCACUACAUUACUGUAAAAUUGGCAUCACAGGAGAAAAAAGGAAGUUGUGUUAAGUUAAACUUCAACCUCCUGGAAUGAAAGAUCUUGAGGUUCCCAACGAAUACAAGUGCAGAUAUGAGGGAAGUUGAGGUCCCCGGUUGAUUUCAGACCCAUAACAUUUCUUCUACUCUUCACUAGUUUUCGGAUUGUGAGAUCAUCCAAACCUCCAGAUCGCCACCGUGACCCCGCUCUCUUACAAGCAUCUCCUGGAGCGCAGCUGAGGAUCUCCCAACAACGUUGGACGUUUCAUUCAGGUUCUCCCCUUCACCCCCGCCAUCAGGUCAGGUCCAAAACUAGGAGCAAAAGUUGAAAAUGCGAGCGGCGGAUGGGAUGAACCACUCCGUCCUUCCCUGCCCGUGCGCAUGUCUGCAGAGCUGUGCCCUGCAAUAUUUUUAUAUCCACUUCAAUGCCAGGCAUGCGUUCUUCCUCCCUUUUUUAUUUUUUAUAAAAUACUUCUAGUUACGAAAGAAUGCGUACACGGCUGCCUUGUCUCAACCCUCCGUCAGCUGCUGUGUUUUAACAAGCAGUUGCUAUUUUUACUCCCAAGAAUGACUAGCACUGCAUGAGAGACGGUUGCAAAAAAUGACCACUCCACUCAUGAACUGUCCUCUAUUACGGUCACACGACGUUACAUUUAAAGAGUUCCGUUUGCCAUGUUAUGCUUUAGCUUCAACCCUCUUCGCCAAAGGUUUCAGACCCACUUUGAAAUUGAGAUGAUAAAGUCUGGAUUUUUAUCUGAUUGCUCAAGAAGUGCUCAACUUAAGAAAGCAUUCCUGGACUGUGGUAUUUCUGAUGUUUCAGAAGACCUACUUCAGAAAUUCUAGUCAGCCUUGAUGGGCUUUAAAGCUCACUUGACACUUUUCAGUACGACUGUCAAAAGUACGACUGUCAAGACUGCUUCACCAACUGCUCCACCAACUGCUCCCCCCCAAAAAAAUCUUCAUUGUAAAAAAAAAAAAUAAUAUAUGUGUGUUCUUUAUCAACAUGUAUGGUGUUUCACCCUCCAAAAAAGGUUUGUUCAGCAGAUGGACAUUCAGGACAAAGUGUGACCUAAACUGUGGAAACCCAGCGAUAAUUUAAAAAAAAAAAAGAUGAUUAGAAAUUAAUAUAUUGUCGCACUGUAAAUACUUUAAGAGAUUUAUGUCAGAAUCUGCUUGAAGCCAAAAAGAAGUGAGUGAUGCCGUCCACUGAAGUGUGACCUGAUGUUGGUUUGUUUGCGUCUGUGAAGUGGUUUGUGCCAGAAAAGCCUGCGAGAUAACAACCAGGAUUACUUGAAACCUCUCCAUGUAAAGACGAAAAGUCACCACACCAGUGUGUCCUCACCGCUGCACAUUUGGAACUCCCAAUCACCAGGAGCAGUUUUAAUGCUUCGCCUGGCCUCGUUCUGUCGAGCUUCAUACAUUCCAGCUAAACCAUGCAGCAGACCUUUCACCCUCUGUUAUAUGACGCUGUUGUUUGACGUAUUUAUUCUACCAGAUCCUUUAACUCACAAAUGUUUUAUAUUUUGUUACACAUAUCUUUUAUUAUUGUGAGGUGGGCGUGCUUGGUGACAGUCUGUGCCGAUCGAUCUGUGUCCGAGGGAGGCAGCCCCCCACCACAUCACUCCUUAUCGUCUGUUGAAAGCCUUUCAAAUCAUUUCUUUAAUGUCAAGUGGAGAUGCAAGUACAGUUAGCGACUGAGCAGUGCAGCCACACAUCUGUGCCGAUAAGAAAGGGCCGACUGGUGAGUAAUUUAUCGGUUUAAAACUGAAAUAUUAAGCUCAGGAGAAGCGAGAGUAGCUACUUUACUCUCCUCCUUCUGAGAUCACAGUGAAGCAACAUGGUCGUCAUAUUGUUUCAUUCCAUCAGCAGUUUUUUCCAGUGAAAUUACUCACCACUCUGAACCCAAAUAACAGCACUGGCUCUCACCUUUCGUUCCUCUCUACGGCCACCAUCCAGACUGCACUGUGAGAGGCGGGGCUGCCUGCUUUUCCGACGGAUUGAAAACCUUUGGGGGGACAUCAGAUGUCCUCUUAUCAAAGUGUAUCGCCUGUCAAAACGGAAAUUAUUGAGAAUGGAUUGUAUUUUUAAUCCAAAUAUUUUCCAUCCACUUUUCUAUAAAAACUUGAAAAUGCUAUAAAAAAAAUCAGUGCGACGGCGGAGACCUUCUUCGGCAACAUCUUAAGGUGGCCUGAACCUCGCUGCAACCCCGCACCUCCCAACCACUAACUUGUAAGGUCUCCAGCUUCAAACCUCCAGCUGAAUGUAUCUGUUUGAAAUGAUUCUAUUUAAGUUCUCAAGAUUUUCUGUAAUAAAGCCGAAUGUUUCAAAGGUAAAUGACUUUGCGUCUUAUCUGAAUGACUGUGUCCCAUAGUUAUUAAAAAAAAAAAAAAAAACAUCUUCCCACACCCACGCAUCGACCCAAAAUUCACAUGUUUUGUAGUCAUCCUUACAGGGAGGUUCAUUUGGGAUUAGUGAAAAAAAAUCUUGAGUAUGUUUAUUCAUGAAGUGAUAAGGAGGGCUAGAACUCAUCUUGUGUGUUCUAACCACACAAAUAUUAAUGAUGAAGCUAAUUGUGGAAUUUCUGACUGACACACUGAAGUAAUGUUUGUGUGUGGACAAGAUGUUGGAUAGUUAAUACAAGAUUGUAUUUGGAAUUAAAGCCAGAAACCUGUAACACAAUUACUGUAAAAACAAAGACGCCAACACAUGACAGAGCUAGAAAG